AUAUGAGGACCGACACGAUGGCAGCGACGACGACGAACGCUGACACCAGUCCAGCAAGCAGCGGAGACGCAAAAGCCUGGCGAAUCCACAAAGAUGCAUCUGUUCUUCGGUUGUGUCAGCGUGAAGACGUCUCUCACAGCUCGCCGUUCCUCUACACGUGACACAUCCGAGUCAUUUCGACUGUCUGUGAUGUUCCCAGAGAAACUGACAUUCUCUGCCGGGGUGGAUGAGUUCAUCAGCAUCUCUAAAGACGUAAAAACCGACACAAAAGUCCAGUGUGUGUAACAAAUGCCUCUGGAUCGACGGACGGAGAUGAAUUU